UUUUCGCAAUGCCCGAAAGGGUGACGAAGCGACGCCGCGUGGGUGAGGAAGGCCUUCGGGUUGUAAAGCCCUGUCAGGAGUUAAGAAAUGUAGAUUCGCUAAUAUCGGGUCUAUUUGACAAAGGCUCCAAAGGAAGCCACGGCUAACUCUGUGCCAGCAGCCGCGGUAAUACAGAGGUGGCAAGCGUUGUUCGGAAUUAUUGGGCGUAAAGAGCACGUAGGUGGAUUUGUAAGUCAGAUGUGAAAGCCUUCUGUUCAACGGAAGAAUUGCAUCUGAAACUGCGAGUCUUGAGUGUAGGAGGGGAGAAUGGAACUUCUGGUGGAGCGGUGAAAUGCGUAGAUAUCAGAAGGAACGCCGGCGGCGAAAGCGAUUCUCUGGCCUAUUACUGACACUCAGUGUGCGAAAGCUAGGGGAGCAAACGGGAUUAGAUACCCCGGUAGUCCUAGCCGUAAACGAUGGGCACUAAGUAGAGGGGUUUAA
rnacentral:rRNA from 1 species